CUCACCGAGGGGCGGCUGAGGGGAGGCUCGACCUGCGGGCCGGUCAGAGCUGCCCGCCGGGGUUCCUCCCUCGGGGGCUGAGGUAAACUGACCUCCUCCUUCGGUCGAGGUGGUCCCCCGUGAGGGCUGGGGCCGCCGCCCUUUUUCAGGUGCCUCCUCGCCCUUGGCCGCACCUGGCUGUUGGCGGGAGGGUCGCGACAGAGUGACCCCGCGGCUUGUCCCGGGGGUGGCAGGGCCCAGGCGAGGGGCCCGGCGCAGGCGGGGGCCCUGCAGCGCUGAGGCGAGGCCGGGGCGAGCGGAGCACACCUCCCCGCCCGGGGCGGUUCCCACAGAGCUUUCCUCCAGGUGCUGCGGUCGCACGGGAUUGAAAUUCGAAGCAAAACUCACGUUAGGGUAGAAUAGUCUGCUGUAUGGAUUAUUUGUCUGCAUUUGAAGAACAACAAGACUCCUAAAAAGGUCUGAGCUGGAUCCUGCCUGAAAUUGAAACUCACUCUGAACAGGGACUUGAACUGAAAAAGCCUAGCAGCAAAACAGUAACUUCUUGGUUCUUGACUCCAUGGCACCAC